GUCUUUAAAGUUAAAAGAUUUGGCGGUAUUUUAGUCUGUUCAGAGGAACCUGCUCUUUAAUCGACAAUCCACGAUUAUUCCUACUUUGGCUAAUAAAUUUAUAUAUCGUUGUUUACAAAGAUUUUAGCAUAUAAUUUUUUCAGAUCAAGGUGUAGUUCAUGCCAAAGUUAGGGUGGGUUACAUUGAAAAUCUAGGGUAAACUGGAUUUGAAAGUAAGCUCUAAAAUAUGCACAUAUCGCCCGUCGCUUUCAUAUUAAUGUGAAAUAAGUCGUAACAAAGUAGGCUUAUUGGAAAAUGAGCCUGGAAUUCAAGUCAGAGCUUGGUAAGCACUUUACUUACAUUAAAGGGUUGACUGUGAGAUUCAGUUUGAUUUGAUCUCUUUUCAUCAUUUUGCUUAAUUUUUAGUUAUUGAUGUAGGAAGGAUUUCUUGUUUUAUUUUUUUCUUGGGAAAAUGUAAUUAUAGUUUAUUAUUACUGUAAAGGAAUUGAUUUUAGCUUUUCAAAGAAGAUUUAAUUUGUUGUACCUUGUGUAUCAGGGUUUAUUUAUUUAGCUUUCCCGAUCUGGUAGGAGUUAUUUUUACUGUAAAAUAAGUACUUACAAUUUUGGCAUGGAAAUGAAACGUUAUUCGACUACCAUUGUAUCUGGUUCCUUAAGAAAUUAAUUUAAUUUAGUUGGCUUGUUUUGUAUUGAUAGGGGAUAAGCUCUAAGACAGAGCUGUAUAAGCUGUUUUUCCUGCAAUUUUUAUAGGAUUAGGAUUUUCCAUUAUUUUUAGUGUGUUAUAAUUAGUCUGCUUUAUUUUGUUAUUAAGGCUGUUUCUCUAAUUUUUAUUGUUACGAGAUUCUGAUAGAAUUAGUAAGGCAAGGUUAAGGAAUUCGGCAAGAAAGUUUUCACCUGUUUAAUAAAAACAUGUCUUUUUGGUAGUGAUUUAAGGUCGGGCCUGCCCAAUGAUUAAAUGGCCGCAGUAUUUUGACUGUGCAAAGGUAGCAUAAUCAUUAGCUUCCUAAUUAGGAGCUGGUAUGAAAGGUUUGAUGAAAGACUAACUGUCUCUAGAAUUUUAUUUUUGAGUAAGAAAGCUUAAAUUUGAUACAAAGACGAGAAGACCCUAUAGAGUUUUUUUGUUGGGGUGAUGUGAAAGUUAAAGUAACCUUUCAUUUUAAUGAACUUUUGAUCCUGGAUUACAAGAUUAAAUUUCCUU
rnacentral:rRNA from 1 species